rnacentral:rRNA from 1 species
AGUGAACGCUGGCGGUAGGCCUAACACAUGCAAGUCGAACGGCAGCACAGUAAGAGCUUGCUCUUACGGGUGGCGAGUGGCGGACGGGUGAGGAAUACAUCGGAAUCUACUUUUUCGUGGGGGAUAACGUAGGGAAACUUACGCUAAUACCGCAUACGACCUACGGGUGAAAGCAGGGGAUCUUCGGACCUUGCGCGAUUGAAUGAGCCGAUGUCGGAUUAGCUAGUUGGCGGGGUAAAGGCCCACCAAGGCGACGAUCCGUAGCUGGUCUGAGAGGAUGAUCAGACACACUGGAACUGAGACACGGUCCAGACUCCUACGGGAGGCAGCAGUGGGGAAUAUUGGACAAUGGGCGCAAGCCUGAUCCAGCCAUACCGCGUGGGUGAAGAAGGCCUUCGGGUUGUAAAGCCCUUUUGUUGGGAAAGAAAGGCAGCAGGUUAAUACCCCGCUGUUCUGACGGUACCCAAAGAAUAAGCACCGGCUAACUCCGUG